rnacentral:tRNA from 1 species
GCCUGGAUGGCUCAGUCGGUUGAGCAUCUGGCUCUUGAUUUCGGCUCAGGCCAUGAUCUCAUGGUUCGUGAGUUCAAACCCUGCUUCGGGCU